rnacentral:rRNA from 1 species
AUUGAACGCUGGCGGCAUGCUUUACACAUGCAAGUCGAACGGCAGCGGGGUAGUGCUUGCACUACUGCCGGCGAGUGGCGAACGGGUGAGUAAUAUAUCGGAACGUACCGAGUAAUGGGGGAUAACCAAUCGAAAGAUUGGCUAAUACCGCAUACGUCCUGAGGGAGAAAGCGGGGGAUCGCAGGACCUCGCGUUAUUCGAGCGGCCGAUAACUGAUUAGCUAGUUGGUGGGGUAAAGGCCUACCAAGGCGACGAUCAGUAGCGGGUCUGAGAGGACGAUCCGCCACACUGGGACUGAGACACGGCCCAGACUCCUACGGGAGGCAGCAGUGGGGAAUUUUGGACAAUGGGGGCAACCCUGAUCCAGCCAUGCCGCGUGUAUGAAGAAGGCCUUCGGGUUGUAAAGUACUUUUGUUAGGGAAGAAAAGGGAAGUGCUAAUACCACUUUUUGCUGACGGUACCUAAAGAAUAAGCACCGGCUAACUACGUG